rnacentral:rRNA from 1 species
AGAGUUUGAUCAUGGCUCAGAUUGAACGCUGGCGGCAGGCCUAACACAUGCAAGUCGAACGGUAACAGGAAGAAGCUUGCUUCUUUGCUGACGAGUGGCGGACGGGUGAGUAAUGUCUGGGAAACUGCCUGAUGGAGGGGGAUAACUACUGGAAACGGUAGCUAAUACCGCAUAACGUCGCAAGACCAAAGAGGGGGACCUUCGGGCCUCUUGCCAUCGGAUGUGCCCAGAUGGGAUUAGCUAGUAGGUGGGGUAACGGCUCACCUAGGCGACGAUCCCUAGCUGGUCUGAGAGGAUGACCAGCCACACUGGAACUGAGACACGGUCCAGACUCCUACGGGAGGCAGCAGUGGGGAAUAUUGCACAAUGGGCGCAAGCCUGAUGCAGCCAUGCCGCGUGUAUGAAGAAGGCCUUCGGGUUGUAAAGUACUUUCAGCGGGGAGGAAGGGAGUAAAGUUAAUACCUUUGCUCAUUGACGUUACCCGCAGAAGAAGCACCGGCUAACUCCGUGCCAGCAGCCGCGGUAAUACGGAGGGUGCAAGCGUUAAUCGGAAUUACUGGGCGUAAAGCGCACGCAGGCGGUUUGUUAAGUCAGAUGUGAAAUCCCCGGGCUCAACCUGGGAACUGCAUCUGAUACUGGCAAGCUUGAGUCUCGUAGAGGGGGGUAGAAUUCCAGGUGUAGCGGUGAAGUGCGUAGAGAUCUGGAGGAAUACCGGUGGCGAAGGCGGCCCCCUGGACGAAGACUGACGCUCAGGUGCGAAAGCGUGGGGAGCAAACAGGAUUAGAUACCCUGGUAGUCCACGCCGUAAACGAUGUCGACUUGGAGGUUGUGCCCUUGAGGCGUGGCUUCCGGAGCUAACGCGUUAAGUCGACCGCCUGGGGAGUACGGCCGCAAGGUUAAAACUCAAAUGAAUUGACGGGGGCCCGCACAAGCGGUGGAGCAUGUGGUUUAAUUCGAUGCAACGCGGAGAACCUUACCUGGUCUUGACAUCCACGGAAGUUUUCAGAGAUGAGAAUGUGCCUUCGGGAACCGUGAGACAGGUGCUGCAUGGCUGUCGUCAGCUCGUGUUGUGAAAUGUUGGGUUAAGUCCCGCAACGAGCGCAACCCUUAUCCUUUGUUGCCAGCGGUCCGGCCGGGAACUCAAAGGAGACUGCCAGUGAUAAACUGGAGGAAGGUGGGGAUGACGUCAAGUCAUCAUGCCCCUUACGACCAGGGCUACACACGUGCUACAAUGGCGCAUACAAAGAGAAGCGACCUCGCGAGAGCAAGCGGACCUCAUAAAGUGCGUCGUAGUCCGGAUUGGAGUCUGCAACUCGACUCCAUGAAGUCGGAAUCGCUAGUAAUCGUGGAUCAGAAUGCCACGGUGAAUACGUUCCCGGGCCUUGUACACACCGCCCGUCACACCAUGGGAGUGGGUUGCAAAAGAAGUAGGUAGCUUAACCUUCGGGAGGGCGCUUACCACUUUGUGAUUCAUGACUGGGGUGAAGUCGUAACAAGGUA